ACCAGGACGGCCGGAUGUCCGAGA
rnacentral:siRNA from 1 species